rnacentral:ribozyme from 12 species
CGUUUUCAAAUGUGUCUUGGUUUUCCCAGAACGAAUGUUUUUUUUCUUGCUUUUUCCCUUUUCCUCUUCUUUUGUCAUUAUAAUAGUGAAAGACGACGGAUCGUUCUGGUGCAUAAAAAUCAUAUCCGUAGGUAAAUGCACGUAUUCCAAUGUUAGCUUCUUCCCCUUGAAAGAUC